GAGUUUGAUCAUGGCUCAGAUUGAACGCUGGCGGCAGGCCUAACACAUGCAAGUCGAACGGUAACAGGAAGCAGCUUGCUGCUUUGCUGAUGAGUGGCGGACGGGUGAGUAAUGUCUGGGAAACUGCCUGAUGGAGGGGGAUAACUACUGGAAACGGUAGCUAAUACCGCAUAACGUCGCAAGACCAAAGAGGGGGACCUUCGGGCCUCUUGCCAUCGGAUGUGCCCAGAUGGGAUUAGCUAGUAGGUGGGGUAACGGCUCACCUAGGCGACGAUCCCUAGCUGGUCUGAGAGGAUGACCAGCCACACUGGAACUGAGACACGGUCCAGACUCCUACGGGAGGCAGCAGUGGGGAAUAUUGCACAAUGGGCGCAAGCCUGAUGCAGCCAUGCCGCGUGUAUGAAGAAGGCCUUCGGGUUGUAAAGUACUUUCAGCGGGGAGGAAGGUGUUGAGGUUAAUAACCUCAGCAAUUGACGUUACCCGCAGAAGAAGCACCGGCUAACUCCGUGCCAGCAGCCGCGGUAAUACGGAGGGUGCAGGCGUUAAUCGGAAUUACUGGGCGUAAAGCGCACGCAGGCGGUCUGUCAAGUCGGAUGUGAAAUCCCCGGGCUCAACCUGGGAACUGCAUUCGAAACUGGCAGGCUAGAGUCUUGUAGAGGGGGGUAGAAUUCCAGGUGUAGCGGUGAAAUGCGUAAAGAUCUGGAGAAUACCGGUGGCGAAGCGGCCCCUGGACAAAAACUGACCCUCAGGUGCGAAAGCGUGGGGAGCAAACAGGAUUAGAUACCCUGGUAGUCCACCCCCUAACGAUGUCCACUUGAAGUUGUGCCCUUGAGGCGUGGCUUCCGGAGCUAACGCGUUAAGUCGACCGCCUGGGGAGUACGGCCGCAAGGUUAAAACUCAAAUGAAUUGACGGGGGCCCGCACAAGCGGUGGAGCAUGUGGUUUAAUUCGAUGCAACGCGAAGAACCUUACCUACUCUUGACAUCCAGAGAACUUAGCAGAGAUGCUUUGGUGCCUUCGGGAACUCUGAGACAGGUGCUGCAUGGCUGUCGUCAGCUCGUGUUGUGAAAUGUUGGGUUAAGUCCCGCAACGAGCGCAACCCUUAUCCUUUGUUGCCAGCGGUUAGGCCGGGAACUCAAAGGAGACUGCCAGUGAUAAACUGGAGGAAGGUGGGGAUGACGUCAAGUCAUCAUGGCCCUUACGAGUAGGGCUACACACGUGCUACAAUGGCGCAUACAAAGAGAAGCGACCUCGCGAGAGCAAGCGGACCUCAUAAAGUGCGUCGUAGUCCGGAUUGGAGUCUGCAACUCGACUCCAUGAAGUCGGAAUCGCUAGUAAUCGUGGAUCAGAAUGCCACGGUGAAUACGUUCCCGGGCCUUGUACACACCGCCCGUCACACCAUGGGAGUGGGUUGCAAAAGAAGUAGGUAGCCUAACCUUCGGGAGGGCGCUUACCACUUUGUGAUUCAUGACUGGGGUGAAGUCGUAACAAGGUAACCGUA
rnacentral:rRNA from 1 species